UGCGUAGGCGGGUAGGUAAGUCAGUGGUGAAAUCCUGGAGCUCAACUCCAGAACUGCCAUUGAUACUAUCUAUCUUGAAUAUUGUGGAGGUAAGCGGAAUAUGUCAUGUAGCGGUGAAAUGCUUAGAUAUGACAUAGAACACCCAUUGCGAAGGCAGCUUACUACGCAUAUAUUGACGCUGAGGCACGAAAGCGUGGGAUCAAACA
rnacentral:rRNA from 1 species